rnacentral:misc_RNA from 1 species
GAUGAAGAACGCAGCGAAAUGCGAUAAGUAAUGUGAAUUGCAGAAUUCAGUGAAUCAUCGAAUCUUUGAACGCACAUUGCGCCCGCCAGUAUUCUGGCGGGCAUGCCUGUUCGAGCGUCAUUACAACCCUCAGGCCCCCGGGCCUGGCGUUGGGGAUCGGCGGAAGCCCCCUGCGGGCACAACGCCGUCCCCCAAAUACAGUGGCGGUCCCGCCGCAGCUUCCAUUGCGUAGUAGCUAACACCUCGCAACUGGAGAGCGGCGCGGCCACGCCGUAAAACACCCAACUUCUGAAUGUUGACCUCGAAUCAGGUAGGAAUACCUGCUGAACUUAAGCAUAUCAAUAAGCGGAGGA